rnacentral:rRNA from 1 species
UACGAAGGGGGCUAGCGUUGCUCGGAAUCACUGGGCGUAAAGGGUGCGUAGGCGGGUCUUUAAGUCAGGGGUGAAAUCCUGGAGCUCAACUCCAGAACUGCCUUUGAUACUGAGGAUCUUGAGUUCGGGAGAGGUGAGUGGAACUGCGAGUGUAGAGGUGAAAUUCGUAGAUAUUCGCAAGAACACCAGUGGCGAAGGCGGCAUCCUGGACCAAUUCUGACACUGAGGAGCGAAAGCCAGGGGAGCAAACGGG